GCUAAAAGUGCCUCUGCAUCA
rnacentral:siRNA from 1 species